CCCUAUAAUGCAAGUCGAGCGGACAGAUGGGAGCUUGCUCCCUGAUGUUAGCGGCGGACGGGUGAGUAACACGUGGGUAACCUGCCUGUAAGACUGGGAUAACUCCGGGAAACCGGGGCUAAUACCGGAUGGUUGUCUGAACCGCAUGGUUCAGACAUAAAAGGUGGCUUCGGCUACCACUUACAGAUGGACCCGCGGCGCAUUAGCUAGUUGGUGAGGUAACGGCUCACCAAGGCGACGAUGCGUAGCCGACCUGAGAGGGUGAUCGGCCACACUGGGACUGAGACACGGCCCAGACUCCUACGGGAGGCAGCAGUAGGGAAUCUUCCGCAAUGGACGAAAGUCUGACGGAGCAACGCCGCGUGAGUGAUGAAGGUUUUCGGAUCGUAAAGCUCUGUUGUUAGGGAAGAACAAGUGCCGUUCAAAUAGGGCGGCACCUUGACGGUACCUAACCAGAAAGCCACGGCUAACUACGUGCCAGCAGCCGCGGUAAUACGUAGGUGGCAAGCGUUGUCCGGAAUUAUUGGGCGUAAAGGGCUCGCAGGCGGUUUCUUAAGUCUGAUGUGAAAGCCCCCGGCUCAACCGGGGAGGGUCAUUGGAAACUGGGGAACUUGAGUGCAGAAGAGGAGAGUGGAAUUCCACGUGUAGCGGUGAAAUGCGUAGAGAUGUGGAGGAACACCAGUGGCGAAGGCGACUCUCUGGUCUGUAACUGACGCUGAGGAGCGAAAGCGUGGGGAGCGAACAGGAUUAGAUACCCUGGUAGUCCACGCCGUAAACGAUGAGUGCUAAG
rnacentral:rRNA from 1 species